rnacentral:rRNA from 1 species
AUACGUAGGCAGCGAGCGUUGUUCGGAGUUACUGGGCGUAAAGGGUGUGUAGGCGGUUCUCUAAGUUUGGUGUGAAAUCUCCCAGCUCAACCGGGAGGGUGCGCCGAAAACUGGAGGGCUAGAGUGCGGGAAGGGAGAGUAGAAUUCCUGGUGUAGCGGUGAAAUGCGUAGAUAUCAGGAGGAAUACCGGUGGUGCAGACGGCUCUCUGGACCGCGACUGACGCUGAGACACGAAAGCGUGGGUAGCAAACAGG